GCUCAUUUGAUCAAAGGAGAAGAUAGUACCCGACUUCAGUACCGAGUAUCAAUUUCUUGCUCCUCCCUUUAAGGUAGAUGAAAAAGCUCGGCAUAGGAUGGCGUCUGGUGCGUCAUGGAGCAACAUCAUUAUCUGAAAGGCCUCUAGGUGAUCAAUCAGAUUUGAGGUCCCAUCGUAGCUCUCAAAUUGAGGGAGCUUGAAGUUCGGCGGGAUCGGUUCCUGCAUAAUUAUUUGAGAGAAAGGAGGGUCAGUACAGAUAUCCUCACCGUA
rnacentral:lncRNA from 1 species